GGGCCCGUAGCUCAGCCUGGUAGAGCAGCGGACUUUUAAUCCGCGUGUCAAGGGUUCAAAUCCCUUCGGGCUCG
rnacentral:tRNA from 1 species